UACAGAGGAUGCAAGCGUUAUCCGGAAUGAUUGGGCGUAAAGCGUCUGUAGGUGGCUUUUUAAGUCCGCCGUCAAAUCCCAGGGCUCAACUCUGGACAGGCGGUGGAAACUACCAAGCUGGAGUACGGUAGGGGCAGAGGGAAUUUCCGGUGGAGCGGUGAAAUGCUUAGAUAUGACAUAGAACACCGAUAGCGAAGGCAGCUUGCUACACAAUUAUUGACACUGAGGCUCGAAAGCGUGGGGAUCAAACAGG
rnacentral:rRNA from 1 species